rnacentral:rRNA from 1 species
CGACGAAUCUUCCGCAAUGGGCGCAAGCCUGACGGAGCAAUGCCGCGUGCGGGAUGAAGUUCUUCGGAAUGUAAACCGCUGUCAGGGUUUAGCAACACAAUGAGCAAACCCAAAGGAAGGGCCGGCUAACUCUGUGCCAGCAGCCGCGGUAAUACAGAGGGCCCGAGCGUUGCGCGGAAUCACUGGGCUUAAAGGGUGCGUAGGCGGGAACUUAAGUGUCUUGUGAAAUCCCACGGCUCAACCGUGGAACCGCAGGGCAUACUGGGUUUCUUGAGGCUGGUAGGCGCCGCCGGAACUGUAGGUGUAGCGGUGAAAUGCGUAGAUAUCUACAGGAACGCCGAUGGUGAAGACGGGCGGCUGGGCCAGUUCUGACGCUGAGGCACGAAAGCGUGGGGAUCAAACAGGAUUAGAUACCCGCGUAGUCC